GACGAACGCUGGCGGCGUGCUUAACACAUGCAAGUCGAACGGAAAGGCCCUGCUUGCAGGGUACUCGAGUGGCGAACGGGUGAGUAACACGUGGGUGAUCUGCCCUGCACUUCGGGAUAAGCCUGGGAAACUGGGUCUAAUACCGGAUAGGAGCCAUUUUUAGUGUGAUGGUUGGAAAGUUUUUUCGGUGUAGGAUGAGCUCGCGGGCUAUCAGCUUGUUGGUGGGGGAAUGGCCUACCAAGGGGGCGACGGGUAGCCGGCCUGAGAGGGUGGACGGCCACAUUGGGACUGAGAGACGGCCCAGACUCCUACGGGAGGCAGAAGUGGGGAAUAUUGCACAAUGGGCGCAAGCCUGAUGCAGCGACGCCGCGUGGGGGAGGACGGCCUUCGGGUUGGAAAAUCCUUUCGCUAGGGACGAAGCUUUUUGUGACGGUACCUAGAUAAGAAGCAACGGCUAACUACGUG
rnacentral:rRNA from 1 species